ACAUGACACAUAGACUCCGAGGGACCCACGCGGUAAUGGCGUCCGUCGGUGAGACGAAAGGCAUCCCCGAGCCAUGACCGCUGUCGCUUCUGUUUUAAGAUGUGUAUGCAUGUGUGCGUGAAAGCGAGGGCAACCACGGAAGAGACAAAACCCCGGACUGCUCAGGCGUCCAUCGUCGACCCCACAGUCUGCGAACUCGUUUCGACCCUGGCAGCGCAUCCUACACAGGCAACGGAGCCGAUCACCUCACCAACGCGCUUCGUUACCUUGCUAGACUGGAUGCACAUUUUUCAGGACUGAAGCUCCCCAGAAACAUGGUCACAUCUGCCUGGGCCGGCGUGCUCCUCAACAGGAAGUAAACCCUGCCUUCGUGACGUGCCGCCAGGGCUGGAUGUGGAAAAAAGCAAACGCCGACUGACACCCAAGACAGCUACAUGUCAGCGCGGGGUUGCGGCUCGAACUGAGCCAACGGUGACUUUCACGAUCAGAGGAAGGCAGG